ACAGUCUCACAGGGAAAACAGAUACAACUCUCUAUCCACUGCCCGUCUGCCUGUUUUCACGGUGUGUGGAAGAAUUUAAUCUUUUCAGAUGUCUUCCUUUCUAUAGUGCUGGAGCAUAAGGAUCUAAAUACUAGCAAAGAGGCAAUCAAAAUGCUGUUUUCAAAGCUGAAAGCAAAAACCCUAACAUACUAUUUACAUGGAAGCAGGAAGCCGAGAAUUAGCUGAUAAAGAGGUCAGAAGAUUUGGAUAGUAACCAUGACAGUGAAUUCAGGCAAAAAAACAACCAAAACAAGAAAAACUCUCUGCAGGAGCCGGUAAUGAGUGGUUAAGUCAAUAGGUGGUGCACUAUGCGUGUGGAGAACUGCUUUUGCUGGUCCUCUAAGGGUCUUGAGGAUUUGCGUUCUAGAAAACUUGUUUCAUUUCACCCAACCAACCAGUUUCAGUAGCUUGAAUGGAGUAAGAGAAAAUAAAA